AAUAAAAUAUAAUAUUUCCUAAAGUUUAUGUCAUUUUAUACAGGAUAUCACUGACAAUUUGCAAGGUACAGUUGGUACAUGUAAUAAUAUCUGAUAUUUGUAUAUCCUUGUUUACAUCGACGGUUAACAUUUGUCAGAAUAGCAUCAUUUAUCCUAUGUAAUGUAAGGAAUAAAUUUAUAGCUAAACAUUUUUAAAAUAAAAAAUGAUGCCCAG
rnacentral:lncRNA from 1 species